AGGACUCCUCUCUCUCCCGGAAGCGGAGCAACGAGCCCGCAAAGCCUCGGUGUGAGACAGCAGUGGUGGCAGACACCGCAGAAGCAAAGAGCACUGAGGCUCUUGCAUUCAGGCGGAGUACCAUGGACGAAGCUGGCAGCUCUGCGAGCGGCGGGGGCUUCCGCCCGGGCGUGGACAGCCUGGACGAACCGCCCAACAGCCGCAUCUUCCUUGUGAUCAGCAAGUACACGCCUGAGUCGGUGCUGAGGGAGCGCUUCUCGCCUUUUGGCGACAUCCAGGACAUCUGGGUGGUGCGGGACAAGCACACUAAGGAAUCCAAGGGCAUUGCUUUCGUCAAGUUCGCCCGCAGCUCACAGGCCUGCAGGGCCAUGGAGGAGAUGCAUGGCCAGUGCCUCGGCCCCAACGACACCAAGCCCAUCAAGGUUUUCAUUGCACAGUCCCGAUCAUCUGGAAGUCACCGAGAUGUUGAAGAUGAAGAACUUACAAGAAUCUUUGUUAUGAUACCAAAGUCCUACACAGAGGAAGAUCUGCGGGAAAAAUUUAAGGUGUAUGGAGAUAUCGAGUAUUGCAGCAUUAUUAAGAAUAAAGUCACUGGAGAAAGUAAAGGUUUGGGCUACGUACGAUACUUAAAACCAUCACAAGCUGCCCAAGCAAUAGAAAACUGUGAUCGAAGUUUUAGAGCAAUCUUGGCUGAACCUAAAAAUAAAGCAUCUGAAUCCUCUGAACAAGAUUAUUAUAGUAAUAUGAGGCAAGAGGCUUUGGGACAUGAACCUAGAGUAAAUAUGUUUCCAUUUGUUGGAGAACAACAAUCUGAAUUUUCAAGUUUUGACAAGAAUGACAGCCGAGGCCAGGAAGCAAUCUCCAAACGCUUGUCAGUUGUAUCAAGAGUUCCUUUCACUGAAGAACAGCUUUUCAGCAUUUUUGAUAUAGUACCAGGAUUGGAAUAUUGUGAAGUUCAACGAGAUCCUUAUUCAAAUUAUGGUCAUGGAGUGGUUCAGUAUUUUAAUGUAGCAUCAGCUAUUUAUGCAAAAUACAAAUUACAUGGAUUUCAGUACCCUCCUGGGAAUCGAAUAGGUGUUUCCUUCAUUGAUGAUGGAAGUAAUGCAACAGAUCUCCUUAGAAAAAUGGCAACACAGAUGGUAGCUGCACAGCUUGCAUCAAUGGUGUGGAAUAACCCAAGUCAGCAACAACUUAUGCAAUUUGGAGGAAGCUCUGGAUCACAGUUGCCUCAAAUCCAGACAGAUGUUGUACUUCCAUCAUGCAAAAAAAAAGCCCCUCCUGAAACUCCUGUGAAAGAAAGACUUUUUAUUGUGUUUAAUCCUCAUCCUUUACCUUUAGACGUAUUAGAAGAUAUAUUCUGUCGUUUUGGUAACCUGAUCGAAGUUUACCUUGUAUCAGGAAAAAAUGUGGGGUAUGCCAAGUAUGCCGAUAGAAUAAGUGCUAAUGACGCUAUUGCCACUCUACAUGGGAAGAUUCUGAAUGGGGUGAGACUUAAAGUUAUGCUGGCAGAUUCGCCAAGAGAAGAGUCUAACAAACGGCAAAGAACUUACUGAUUCUUGAGAAACAGUAGCUCAAGAACACAUGGAUCCUGGGAACUGAAGGUAUGGUAUUGGUAGGAGAUCAGACAGAAAUAUUGAGUUAAAAUAUCAAGUUGUAGUUCAUUCAUUACAAUGGCCAUGCUUUGACUUUAUUUAAGGUAGAAAAGUCUUGUCCUUAGUAGACAAUGCAGCUCCCACUACACUUUGAGAAAGUUACCAGGCUCUGUGAAAAUUUAUUUGAGUAAUUAUCGGAGAAAAAGGGAGUUCUGUGACUGUCAUAUAUGAAUUGAAGGCAGUAUCUGGAUGUCAAAGUCCCUGUGAGCUAGCUAACGUAGGCUGCACCACGUGGGACUCUUAGAAACUGCCUGUCUGACCAAAAUGCUGCAGAAGUGGCAGAAGGAAGGCAUCAGGAGACCAUUUUUAAACAGUUGUUUGUAUAUGAGGUACAAAACUCAAGAACUGUGUGAAAAGGCAAGUACCAGUACUGUUUUCUAAAGAAAUUGGGAGAAAUACUGAACACAGAAGAAUAACCUAAGUGCUUCCACUGAUAACUUCUGUGAAACUAUGUUCUCUGAAUUCUUCUCCAAAUUAUUUUCUGAUUUUGUAAGUAAUGAUGUUACAACUAAUUUUUUUCCUCAUAUAUUAUCAAUAUUUUCUAGCAUUAACAAGACAUAGGUAACAGCAUUCAUUAGCUCAAGAGUUUUUAAGGGUUUUGUUUGUUUGCUUGCUAUGUUUUUUUUGUUGUUUUUUUAAUGCCAGAAAAAAAAUUAAAGUCAUCUACUUUAAAGUUAUAUACUAAUUUACUAGAAGUUCUGAUAUGUAAAAAUAUAUAAUUUCAUUGUUUUCCUCUCUUUGUCAACAAAGCCUAUGUGGGCCGGGCGCAGUGGCCGAUGCCUGUAAUCUCAGCACUGUGGGAGGCUGAGGUGGGCGGAUCACUUGAGGUCAGGAGUUUGAGACCAGCCUGGCCAACAUGUGGCCCUGAAGCUGCACUAUGUUGGAGGUUUCCUUGACUAAGAGAACCACACCUGGCAUUCACCUCGGUAGGGGAGUCAUAAAAGAUCCUGCCUCUGACCAGAAGAGUAUGAAUGACAAAGGUGACAUAACCAGCACAGAAAGAUGUCUUAGCCUCUGCACAUCAGCUGAUUUAGAAUACUUACAGAUGGGGGGCGCUGUGGGGGGGCGGCGCAGAAUGUUCUUUUCAGCUUCUUUGCCCUGAGAACUUUGAUCUUAUUGCAAGGAAGUCCCUUACCCUCUUCCACCCUAGAUCUGACGGACCUCCUGGGAUUUCCUGGGAAAAUGAAAUGAGUCUAACACCUUUGACCACCUGCUGGAUAUUAUAUCAGCACUUACUUGAGUAGACUGUGAAAGAACUGAAAGCAAUAUUCAGAGUCUGCCAGUUAUCUGCAGUUGGCCUAGAUAACCUCAUUUUGAAAUAAGUAACUGAAUGGGCAAAAGAUUUGAACAAGCACUUCACAAAAGAAGACCAAGAGGAGGGCAGGGUUUUUUGUUUGGGGAGUUUUAUUUAGUUUUGUUUUGGGGUUGUUUUGUUUUGGCAGAGGACAGGAGGAGUGGAUAGAUUCAUUUUGUAAAGAAAUAUUAAAAUAUUCUUUUUAAUUUGA